rnacentral:rRNA from 1 species
AUUGAACGCUGGCGGCAGGCCUAACACAUGCAAGUCGAACGAGCGGCGGACGGGUGAGUCAUGUCUGGGAAACUGCCCGAUGGAGGGGGAUAACUACUGGAAACGGUAGCUAAUACCGCAUACCAUCGGAUGUGCCCAGGUCGGAUUAGCUAGUUGGUGGGGUAAUUGCCUACCUAGGCGACGAUCCGUAACUGGUCUGAGAGGAUGAUCAGCCACACUGGAACUGAGACACGGUCCAGACUCCUACGGUAGGCAGCAGUGGGGAAUAUUGCACAAUGGGCGAAAGCCUGAUGCAGCCAUGCCGCGUGUAUGAAGAAGGCCUUCGGGUUGUAAAGUACGUUCAGCCGGGAGGCGUUACCCACAGAAGAAGCACCGGCUAACUCCGUGCCAGCAGCCGCGGUAAUAC